rnacentral:rRNA from 1 species
UACGUAGGGGGCAAGCGUUGUCCGGAUUUAUUGGGCGUAAAGAGCUCGUAGGCGGUUCGGUAAGUCGGGUGUGAAACCUCCAGGCUCAACCUGGAGACGCCACCUGAUACUGCUGUGGCUAGAGUCCGGUAGGGGAGCAUGGAAUUCCUGGUGUAGCGGUGAAAUGCGCAGAUAUCAGGAGGAACACCAGUGGCGAAGGCGGUGCUCUGGGCCGGAACUGACGCUGAGACGCGAAAGCGUGGGGAGCGAACAGG